CUGCAGCCAAUUAGGCUGACCGUCCCCUCUUCCUGUGGGAGCCCAGUGUACAGUGGCUGUCAGCAGCCUUCUUGGUAGUGUAUGUGGCCUGUUGCUUGAACGGGUUGCCCUAAGGGACCUUGGAGACAGCC
rnacentral:snoRNA from 1 species